UAUACAGCGAAACUGCGAAUGGCUCAUUAUAUAAGUUAUCGUUUAUUUGAUAGUGCCUUACUACUUGGAUAACCGUGGUAAUUCUAGAGCUAAUACAUGCUAAAAACCCCGACUUCGGAAGGGGUGUAUUUAUUAGAUACAAAACCAAUGCCCUUCGGGGCUCUUUGGUGAUUCAUGAUAACUAUACGAAUCGCACGGCCUUGCGCCGGUGAUGGUUCAUUCAAAUUUCUUCCCUAUCAACUUUCGAUGUUUGGGUAUUGGCCAAACAUGGUUGCAACGGGUAACGGAGGGUUAGGGCUCGACCCCGGAGAAGGAGCCUGAGAAACGGCUACUACAUCCAAGGAAGGCAGCAGGCGCGCAAAUUACCCAAUCCCGACUCGGGGAGGUAGUGACAAUAAAUACUGAUACAGGGCCCUUUCGGGCCUUGUAAUUGGAAUGAGUACAAUUUAAAUCCCUUAACGAGGAACAAUUGGAGGGCAAGUCUGGUGCCAGCAGCCGCGGUAAUUCCAGCUCCAAUAGCGUAUAU
rnacentral:rRNA from 1 species